rnacentral:rRNA from 1 species
UACAGAGGUCCCAAGCGUUGUUCGGAUUCAUUGGGCGUAAAGGGUGCGUAGGUGGCAUGGUUAGUCGGGUGUGAAAUCCCGGGGCUCAACCCCGGAACUGCACUCGAUACUGCCGUGCUGGAGUACUGGAGAGGAGACUGGAAUUUACGGUGUAGCAGUGAAAUGCGUAGAGAUCUGGAGGAAUACCGGUGGCGAAGGCGGCCCCCUGGACGAAGACUGACGCUCAGGUGCGAAAGCGUGGGGAGCAAACAGG